GCCAGUGUGGCAUAGUGGUUAGGUAUUGGACUGUGACUCUGGAGAUCAGGGUUUGAUUCCCAGCUCAGCCA